rnacentral:rRNA from 1 species
AAUCUUCCGCAAUGGACGAAGGUCUGCCGGAGCAACGCCGCGUGAGUGAUGACGGUUUUCGGAUCGUAAUAUUCUGUUAUUAGGGUAGAACAAAUGUGUAAGUAACUGUGCACAUCUUGACGUUACCUAAUCAGAAUUCCAUGGCUAACUACGUGCCAGCAGCCGCGGUAAUACGUAGAUGGCAAGCAUUAUCCGGAGUUAUUGGGUGUAAAGCGCGCGUAGGCGGUUUCUUAAGUCUGAUGUGAAAGCCCACGGCUCAACCGUGGAGGGUCAUUGGAAACUGGGAAACUUGAGUACAGAAGAAGAAAGUGGAAUUCCAUGUGUAGCGGUGAAAUGCGCAGAGAUAUGGAGGAACACCAGUGGCGAAGGCGACUUUCUGGUCUGUAACUGACGCUGAUGAGCAAAAGCGUGGGGAUCAAACA